rnacentral:rRNA from 1 species
CACUCCUACGGGAGGCAGCAGUGGGGAAUAUUGCACCAUGGGCGCAAGCCUGAUGCAGCCAUGCCGCGUGUAUGAAGAAGGCCUUCGGGUUGUAAAGUACUUUCAGCGGGGAGGAAGGCGAUAAGGUUAAUAACCUUGUCGAUUGACGUUACCCGCAGAAGAAGCACCGGCUAACUCCGUGCCAGCAGCCGCGGUAAUACGGAGGGUGCAAGCGUUAAUCGGAAUUACUGGGCGUAAAGCGCACGCAGGCGGUCUGUCAAGUCGGAUGUGAAAUCCCCGGGCUCAACCUGGGAACUGCAUUCGAAACUGGCAGGCUAGAGUCUUGUAGAGGGGGGUAGAAUUCCAGGUGUAGCGGUGAAAUGCGUAGAGAUCUGGAGGAAUACCGGUGGCGAAGGCGGCCCCCUGGACAAAGACUGACGCUCAGGUGCGAAAGCGUGGGGAGCAAACAGGAUUAGAAACCCUUGUAGUCCCAUGAU